UACGUAGGGGGCUAGCAUUGCUCGGAAUCACUGGGCGUAAAGCGCACGUAGGCGGCUUUCUAAGUCAGGGGUGAAAUCCUGGAGCUCAACUCCAGAACUGCCUUUGAUACUGGAGAGCUUGAGUCCGGGAGAGGUGAGUGGAACUCCGAGUGUAGAGGUGAAAUUCGUAGAUAUUCGGAAGAACACCAGUGGCGAAGGCGGCUCACUGGCCCGGUACUGACGCUGAGGUGCGAAAGCGUGGGGAGCAAACAGG
rnacentral:rRNA from 1 species